rnacentral:rRNA from 1 species
CAUACCGUAAACGAUGAAUGCUAAGUGUUGGAGGGUUUCCGCCCUUCAGUGCUGCAGCUAACGCAUUAAGCAUUCCGCCUGGGGAGUACGGCCGCAAGGCUGAAACUCAAAGGAAUUGACGGGGGCCCGCACAAGCGGUGGAGCAUGUGGUUUAAUUCGAAGCUACGCGAAGAACCUUACCAGGUCUUGACAUACUAUGCAAAUCUAAGAGAUUAGACGUUCCCUUCGGGGACAUGGAUACAGGUGG